ACCGACACUGUCAGCUCCUAACGCCGCAGGUUCCUCCUGGUCCCCGAGGCCCCCGGUCGGGCGUUGCCUGCCCCGCGCGGGCGGCCGGGCCGAGGGACGAUGGUCAGUGGACGGACGGCGCCAGGGAGCAGUGCCCACGCGCGGCAGGGCGGUACCUUCAGGCCUCCAGGUACGGGCGCUCCUCGCCCGGACGCUGCUGUGUGUGAAUGGGCGCGAGGGGACUCCCCUGCGGGGCGGACGCCUGAACACGAGGCUGUGGAGGAGGACGCUGUAGGGUGCGCGGACUCACGCGGAACAUGCCAGAGGCUCAGCCAGCCACGGCGCUCCCAGCGUGGAGGGCGAGGGGCAUCCGGGAGCGGCCGGGAGGGCUCGGUCACCCCUCAAGCUGUCACCCCAGUCCCACAACCAGCACCCCGAUCCUAUCGCAGUCCCACAGCCGACACCCCGAUCCCACCCCUGCCCAACAGCCGGCACCCACCCCAAUCCCAUAGCUAACACCCCGGUCCCACCGCUGUCCCACGGCCGGCACCCCGAUCCCACCCCAGUCCCGCAGCUGGCACCCCGAUCCCACCCCAGCCCAACAGCUGGCACCCACCCCGAUCCCACCGCUGUCCCACAGCCGGCACCCCGAUCCCACCCCAGUCCCGCAGCCGGCACCCCGAUCCCACAGCCGGCACUCACCCCGAUCGCAUAGCAUAGCUGAUACCCCGAUCCCACCCCAGUCCCAUAGCCAGCACCCCGAUCCCACCCCAGUCCCAUAGCCAGCACCUCGAUCCCAUAGAUGACACCCCGAUCCCGCCCCAGUCCUAUAGCCCGCACCCCGAUCCCACCCGAGUCCCGCAGCCGGCACCCCAUCCCACCCAUGUCCCACAGUCGGCACCCCGAUCCCACUCGGAUCCGGCAGCCAGCUUGGAUCCUGUGGCCCUCCUCCAGCCCCCAGGGCUCAUUUAUAUGUUUUAUUGGCAGAGGCUGGGGCUGGCUCUGUUGGCCUCUGUGCUGGGUUUCUUCCUCUGCACCGCAGGACUGGCUCUCCUGACCUCUCCAGGUGUCAUCGAACACCCUUGUGCUUGCUGUCACCCGCUGCCUGUCUGCAGGAUCCCGGAUUCCGUAUCAGGGGACCGAAAUUAGUCGGAAAAUAGGAAGCAGGUGCUCGCUUGGAUGGAACCCUGACCCUGUGCUCACACUUGUAGGAGGAGGGCUCUGCAGGCCGCCUCCCGGAACGGGAGGUUCCCAAGCCACUGCACUUCGGAGGGGCUGUAAUUAGAGUUGCACAUUCAUUCAGUUCCCAGUAAAGUAGAACGUGCUCCAGCCAGUGAGGAAAAGGUGUUUUUAAAAAUUAGAUUGGCCGAGUGCGGUGGCUCAUGCCUUUUACCUCAACACUUUGGGAGACAAAGGUGGGAGGAUCACCUGUGGCCAGGAGUUCAAGACCAGCCUGGGCAACAGAGCCUGUCUCUGGGGAAGAAUAAAAAAAAAAAUUGAGCCUUUGUCAGUGCUACUAUUUUAUUAUCUGGUAAAUAUGAGAGGGUUCACGCGGUCUAUGUGUGUCAUUUAUCUGAGUUUGCCUAUCGUCACGUUUUGGAAAUAAAUGUCAAUAAAGUCGAAGAGGAGUGCUGAGGGGGGCCUGGGGAUGGGAGGGUGGCUACAUCAUGCCUGUGUGUUGCGCAAGCCCACCGAGGUCGGCCUGGGGUGAGCCCUGGGGCCUGUUCUGCCUCCUUCACUCUGGGGCUCCAAGAGACAAACUGGGCAACAAGAGAGAAACUCCAUCUAAAAAAAAAGAAAAAUCACCUCCAAGAUAACUUAGCUUUCUUCUGCUGGCAUAACAAAUUAUCUCAAACUUAGUCGCUUAAAAAUGCAAAUUUAGGCUGAGUGCGGAGGCUCACGCCCAUAAUCCUAGCACUUUGGGAGGCCAAGGCAGGAUUGCUUGAGGCCAGGAGUUCGAGACCAACAUGGCCAGAACUGUCUCUUUUUAAAAAAUGCAAAUGUGUCCGGCACGGUGGCUCACGCCUAUAAUCCCAGCACUUUGUGAGGCCAAGGCGGGCAGAUCACGAGGUCAGGAGAUAGAGACCAUCCUGGCUAACACUGUGAAACCCCCUCUCUACUAAAAAUACAAAAAAUUAGCCUGGCGUGGUGGCAGGCGCCUGUAGUCCCAGCUACUCGGGAGGCUGAGGCAGGAGAAUGGCGUGAACCCAGGAAGCGGAGCUUGCAGUGAGCCGAGAUGGCGCCACUGCACUCCAGCCUAGGCAACAGAGCAAGACUCCGUCUCAAAAAAUAAAUAAAUAAAACUGCAAAUGUAUUCUCUAACUGUUCUGUAGGUCGGAAGUCCAGCCCAGCCUCACUCCGCCAAAAUCAGGGUGUCUGCAGGGCCGAUUGCUUUUGGAGCUCCAGGGGAGAAGCUGUUCUGGCCUUUCCAGUUUCUGGAAGCACUUGAGCCCCUUGUCUCGUGGCCUAUCCCACACCUGAAAGCCAGCCAAAGCCAGUUGAGUCCUCACCCUGUUGGCCCCGACACUGAUCUCCUGCCUCCCUCAUCUGCUGUCAAGGCCCCUUGUGAUGACAUGGGGCCACCAGCUGGCCCAGGGCACCUCCUGUCAGAGUCCGCCGACCAGUGACCUUCAUUCCAUCUGUCGCUGUAAUUCCCCUUUGCUUGGAACCAACGUUCACAGAUCCCAGGGGUUAGGAUGUGAAUAUCUUGGGCAGGGCUGUGGGGGGGCUAUUCUUCCUUCUAAAAUAUUUAUCAUUUUUGUUUUGGGG
rnacentral:lncRNA from 1 species